rnacentral:lncRNA from 1 species
AACAGCCCUUGAUCAAACUUAAAGAUACAAAAUCUCUUUGAUUUUUAAAUAUAUUUUCUAUAGUUUUACUAAUUAUUUAAGUUCAGUUAGAUAUAGCAUAGGGGGAAAGAGCCCUCCUCAUCUUUGCACUUGGAGUUGCAAACAGACCUGUCUUUUGACAGAUUCGGUGUAUAAAUCCUAUUUUAACAUAUAUCUUCAUAAUGUAAUCUCCAUGGUCCUUUCGCUCUCUGUGCUCCUGUACCUGCUAGCCACAGAAUCUGGGUUUGGGAACCAGAAACCUGCCUCAGAAAGGCUCAGUAUCAAGGCUCCGUGUGUUGCCAGUUUAACCGAGAUGCUCUUGUUUUGAGGUGUUGAUGUAAAUUGUGUUUGAACACUUCUGCAUUAUUAAGUAUCCUCAGUUUUUUCUUUUUUAAAAAUGUCUUUUCCAGCUUUAUGUCACAGUGACAUAGUAAGAAGAGGGUCAGGGAGGACCCUUGGGCUGCCAGGUCGGCACUCACUCAGUAGAUAACUUGGCCAAGACGUUACAUUUCUCUAAGCCUCAGGGUCUGUCUGUAAACUAAGGGGUUUUGUAUGAUAAGGCCCAGCAGAGGUUUUUGGAUGUUCAGGGUGUGUGUGUGUGAGAGAGAAUGAUGGUGUGAGAUGUAGUGCUCAGUAGAGUGUUCCAGACUGGUGACACCUCAGGUGGUGGCGCUGAAGGGGAGCAUUGAGGUCACACCACACACGGUUGCCACGGCCCCAAAGAACUCUUGGAUCUCCCAGAGUACUGCGUGUCUGAGUGGCCACAGUACCUGUGUGGUUGACUUUUGAUGUGCUCUUCUGCAUGGAGUAGACUGUGUUUGUCCACUUGUCACUGCAUGGAGGCCGUACAGGUGUCUCCCCCAGGAGUCCAGGUGAAGCGAGGUUUAGAACAGCACAGUGUUACAGAGACUUGUGAAGACCACUUUAUAAAGGCAGUGAAGGCCCUGGCAGUCCCUCCUCUUGAAUGGCGUGCACCCUCAGUGUCCCUUCCUGUCUCUCCCCAGAUCGCUAUUAUUUACGAGUAGAAUAUCUUGUAAUACUUGCCUUUUAGGAUAGACGUAAUACAGCAUUUCUUCUGGGCAUAGCAAUAAACUUUCAUUUUAGUGAGGUUUGGGUCUACUUUGGAUUCCCACUUUAAGCACAUGUAUUUAACAUCAAUAUUUUUAUAAUGCAAGACUCACUUUAGGAAAUCUUGCCAAGUCGCAAUGUGCCUAGAAUAGCAUAAAUACUAAAAACCAGUGUUUCCUGUGUCACUUUUAAAUGGUAUUAAAUAUUUCCAGGAGGAAUAUUUCUGGUCCUCUCAUUUAAAAAAGGGUGUUCUGUAGGGUCGGUUCCUUUGUUCAGUUUCAGAACCGCCUAGACCACCGUGUCUGCUCCGGUGCAGGGGCCGCUGGUCCAGAGGUGUCCUGCCUCCCACGGGUGGGUUUGGGAUUGGGUUCUGGGCACUGUGUGUACCCAGGCCAGAGCGGACAGGCGGCAGGCAGUGCUGACUUCCAGCAGUUGUAAAUGAGCACCCUCCACUACGUGGUUUCAGGGUUAACAACUGUCGUAACAUUAAAUUCUGUAGAUGUGAAAAGCAUCGUGACUUCAGAGAAAUCAGUGGCCUUUGCUUCCAUUUUCUUACACCUGCAUCGGAUCGUAUUCCUCAGAGAGAGAUGGGGAGGCGUGUGGCAGGGCUGGUGUUCAUGGUGAGCAGUUACUCUGUGUCCCCUCACGUCGUCUUGACCUACCUAAGACAUUAGGGCCGGUGUCCAUAAAGUUCUUUGAGCUUGAGAGUAAGGGACCAUCAAAAACAAAGUGAUACUCUUUUGUACCUGCAGAUGCAUCCAUUGGACGUACCAGUUAGUGUCAAGUAGAAUAAAUCAAUUAGAAAUUUGUGAAUCUUAGGUUUAACUAGGAAGGUUAUUCGUAUAGAGUAUAGUUCACGUAGGGGGGGAAAUCUUUUAUCAAGCAAUCUUCUGUUUACUGGAAGGUAUAGUCAGUCUUUCCAGAGAAGCCUAGUUGAGUGCUUUAAUGCCAAUUUAUUUUUAUCUCCAUAUUUCCAGGACCUCGUAGGCACACCACCCCCUUUAAUAGUCCUCGUAAAGCAGAGCUGCCGUAAGUCCCCACCUUCCGUGGGGAGUACACCUUCCUUAGAUCCUGUUACUGUAUGUCAGACACAGAAAAGGUUUUUCUAACGCACUGUCAGGACGGGCUGCUUUGGGGAUGGGAAAUUUGAGUUUCAACAAUUCACACUUUGAGAUGUCGGUGGUUUUCAAAAAACACGGUGUUAGGGAUUUUUGCCUCCCGUACCAACCGUGGGCACUGUGGUCCCAAGCGGGUGGCUUUGUAGCAGGUGCCAGAGUGCUCGCCGCUGUGUGUCACGAGAUGGCAGAUGUGUCGUCGGCGGGCCCCGUGACCCCUCUAGUGCUGCGGGCGGUGGAAAUAGCGGCCCCUCCUUUAAGAAAUAUGUUUACUUUGCCGUUUCACAUGUAUUCCGUACCUAUGACAUAUGGCAGCUUCCAGCUUCCAGUUGGAUUGGUCUUACAUUGUAGAAGUCGCCGGUCACACGGGACUGGUUGCUCUUUCACUGUGGAAUUCGGGAGGGGCCCCGAGUUCGGCUCUUCUGCGAAUCCAUCCUGAGUUACUUUAGAGACUGAACUUAACCUCA